UAGAGAGGUCUCAAGCGUUGUUCGGAUUCAUUGGGCGUAAAGGGUGCGUAGGCGGCGUGGUAAGUCGGGUGUGAAACCUCUAGGCUUAACCUAGAGCCUGCAGGCGAAACUGCCGUGCUUGAGGGUGGGAGAGGUGCGUGGAAUUCCCGGUGUAGCGGUGAAAUGCGUAGAUAUCAGGAGGAACACCUGUGGCGAAAGCGGCGCACUGGACCACAUCUGACGCUGAGGCGCGAAAGCUAGGGGAGCCAACAGG
rnacentral:rRNA from 1 species